ACGAACGCUGGCGGCGUGCCUAAUACAUGCAAGUCGAGCGAAGUUUUUCUGGUGCUUGCACUAGAAAAACUUAGCGGCGAACGGGUGAGUAACACGUAAAGAACCUGCCUCAUAGACUGGGACAACUAUUGGAAACGAUAGCUGAUACCGGAUAACAGUAUUUCUCGCAUGAGAGAUAUUUAAAAGUUGGUUAUGCUAACACUAUGAGAUGGCUUUGCGGUGCAUUAGCUAGUUGGUGGGGUAAAGGCCCACCAAGGCGACGAUGCAUAGCCGACCUGAGAGGGUGAUCGGCCACACUGGGACUGAGACACGGCCCAGACUCCUACGGGAGGCAGCAGUAGGGAAUCUUCCGCAAUGGGCGAAAGCCUGACGGAGCAACGCCGCGUGAGUGAAGAAGGAUUUCGGUUCGUAAAGCUCUGUUGUUAGGGAAGAAUGGAUAUGUAGUAACUAUACAUGUAAGAGACGGUACCUAACCAGAAAGCCACGGCUAACUACGUG
rnacentral:rRNA from 1 species